AAUGACCAAUGGAUGCACUAAGAUUUGAUUUCUGAAUGAAUAGAAGGUCUCCGAGGGGCCCUGAUGUAUGGUGAGCAAAGAUUGGCAGCUGUCUCAAAGUUUUUCUCACAUCUCAUCAAAGUUGACAAAGGAAUUACUCGGUGAGAUGGAAAGUAAAACUGCUAGGGGAGAUCGGUUCAGAUGGGAACUCCCAAAAGUGAUUGCCAGAAUGCUGAAUGAAGUUAAGAAGACCUUUCACUCAUCUUAAUUCCUUGUACCUUCUAAAUUGAUCUUUGCUAAGUCAAGGAAUCAAUGAGGGGAUGUUGGAUUCUACAGCUACUAUGAAAAAAAACCAUCAUGCUUUGGACCAAGGAAGCAAAGGCAGAGUGCAACUUUUUCAUCUUGGCAAAAGUCUGGAACCCUAUCUUGAAAAUAGAAUCCUUUCCUCCUUACAUGCAGCUGAGGUAGCUAGUGUGAGAUACAUGAUCUACUCGCUCAAUACAAUGUCUGCCAUUCAUCCCUAAGGAGUUUAUUGGACAGUAAAUGACAUUUAUCAGUGAAUUGGCCCAAUGAAUGGUUCAUCUCUUACUAAGACCCUUUCUGUCAGGACCUGGAAUCUGAUAAUCUAGAGAAAUAAAGGGAAUUACACGUCUUCAGUGGACUUUUCU